GCUAAUACCGGAUAACAACAGAUGAUGCCUAUCAACUGUUUAAAAGAUGGUUCUGCUAUCACUCUUGGAUGGACCUGCGGUGCAUUAGCUAGUUGGUAGGGCAACGGCCUACCAAGGCGAUGAUGCAUAGCCGAGUUGAGAGACUGAUCGGCCACAUUGGGACUGAGACACGGCCCAAACUCCUACGGGAGGCAGCAGGC
rnacentral:rRNA from 1 species